CACCCCUUGGCCAGUUAAAGCGACAAAAGAGAAAGACGUGACAAGAUCGUCUUAAAUUCAGCAUCAAAACUUCUACCGAUUCGACUGAUUUCAACUCCGCAAACCAACUGUGGUCUCGACAGUUACUCGUCCUCAGCCGAUUUUCCAGAGAUCAAGGCACAGAAAGCAAGGAAAAAUAAGUCGUUAUUUUCAAGGUUUUCACCAGACUCCAUGGCCACUAAGACCUGGACGUUGUUACGCGGAGCGAUUUUGAAAAUGAACAAACAAAGAUACUUGUCUGUGAUGCAGGGUAGAAACAAUUUAACUGCCUCAAUAAAUUCAAGAACACUUUCUCAAAACGCGAAGGUUACUGAUACAGGAUUCCAGAAAAUGGAAAUUAAUAAACCUGGAGAGGACUUGCAUAGGACUGAAUUUAUAAAUACAGGAAUUAUGUCAAUGGCAGAUUUGCCUUCUGCACACUCGCUGAGAUCCAAAGACCAGUUUUCCGCACAGGCGCAAAGUGGUUUGGAAUGCAGAAGAUGUUUGACGCAUUUGGCUCACUGGACCACGCAUGAAAAAACUCACGAUUCUAAAGAUGACGAGAAAACUAAAGAAUCGCUUUGUGGACUUUUAUUCAACAGUUAUGUGCUCUGUCUGUUCGUACUCGGUUCUUAUGUACCAAUGGAUUAGCUGGAACUCGUGAAGAAGCCUGAUCGCGUUUUUGCUUGGUGUUGAUUAACAUCGGCAGUCAUUUAAAAUUACCCAAUAUGUUCACAACAUGUAUAUAAGUUAAAUAUUAUUUCUCUAAGACUACGAGGAAGUAUAGUUCUACAUUGCAUAUUCCUUCUAGAAAAUUAGUGUUCGUAGUUUUAAUCGGAGGAACAGUUGUAAAACUUUGAAGUAGAUUAUAAAAAAUAUUUUCAGAUACAGGAGGUCAUUCAGCAAUUCUAAGUAAUCGAAGAGGAGAUGGAGGAACUGACCAUAUAAGGAAAAUAUAGUUUUCGACGAAUUUAAAGAGCAAUUUAAAUAUAAUUUUCUGUAAGCUUAGAGUAGAAUCUGAACUCUACCUGAAUGUCUCCUUGAAUGAACUCUUUCUUAUUCUUAUCCCCCGCUUACAAAACAAAAAAAUUAACAAAAUUCAUCAAAGAAAUUUCAAAGCGCGAACAAAUAAAGUACAUUUACAAAAAAACACCAGAUUUAGGGGAAAUGUCCACCUAAUUCAAUCUUCUUCCUUUUCCCUUUGUUUUUCCGUGUAGGCUGUUGGACAGUGGAAAAAAGAUACUGCACACAAAACUAGUGGUGGCUCAUAGCAUCAGAGUUCAUCUCUGUGUCCACAGCAUAAAGUAAAGGAUCGUUGCUAUUCACUCUAGACAGGAUGUUAACCCAAACAGAGCCUUUCCCUUGUUUUGCUUGCAUUCACCCUAGCUCGAGGUAAUUUACAAGAGUUCAGAAAUUUUAGAUGACUUCUUGGUUCUUCACAUAGUUUACCUUUCCUUUUCCAUUCUUUUCCCCAAGUCUUGUUAAUAAGUUCACAAAUUU